UGCGGGUCCCCUCGCGACACUAACUGGCAAACCCGGUCAGGCCCGGAAGGGAGCAGCCGUAGUCGGGGAUGUGGGCGCCGAGGUGUGGCUGGUAGGGU
rnacentral:SRP_RNA from 1 species